UCAAAUACAUGUUUUCAUGAUUGUAGAAAUUGAUACCACCGAGUUGUCGUGACAAUUAUAAUUUAUAAGAAUUUGCUACUUCCAUGUGGUUUUUCAUGAUUGUAGAAAUUGAUACCACCGAGUUGUCCCUUCUUUUUAUUGAAAACUUCAUGAUCCAGUCGAAAAGUUUAAUUAUGAGAAAUACAUAAGGCAUUAGCAUUACUAACAUGAAAUGAAAACACACAUGCAGCUAUAAGUAUACAGCCCAUGGCCCAAAUAGUGACAGUUCAAGCCCAUCAGCGUGUAUUCAUUCUACAGAAACAUCAGCUGUGAAAUUUAUAGGUAGAAAACCAGUUCAGGCCCAAAUAGAUCAUUGUCAGUUCAAACACAACUAAACAAAUAGGCUAAAUGCAUACAAACGGCGAGUGAUCGAUCAUCUUAUCAUGGAUGUAAUUUUUAGUACCUUUCCAUUAAGGGCUAUUUUGCACAAGUGGGGUUUUCAGGAUCUAUUUCCCCACAAGUUCCCAGAGGGAACUCACUAAGGGUAAAAGAGGUCCUUUCAUCUUCCAGUGCAUCUCUUGCACUGGGAUCCAGAGUUG